GAUGAACGCUGGCGGCGUGCCUAAUACAUGCAAGUCGAGCGAACGGACGAGAAGCUUGCUUCUCUGAUGUUAGCGGCGGACAGGUGAGUAACACGUGGAUAACCUACCUAUAAGACUGGGAUAACUUCGGGAAACCGGAGCUAAUACCGGAUAAUAUUUUGAACCGCAUGGUUCAAAAGUGAAAGACGGUCUUGCUGUCACUUAUAGAUGGAUCCGCGCUGCAUUAGCUAGUUGGUAAGGUAACGGCUUACCAAGGCAACGAUGCAUAGCCGACCUGAGAGGGUGAUCGGCCACACUGGAACUGAGACACGGUCCAGACUCCUACGGGAGGCAGCAGUAGGGAAUCUUCCGCAAUGGGCGAAAGCCUGACGGAGCAACGCCGCGUGAGUGAUGAAGGUCUUCGGAUCGUAAAACUCUGUUAUUAGGGAAGAACAUAUGUGUAAGUAACUGUGCACAUCUUGACGGUACCUAAUCAGAAAGCCACGGCUAACUACGUGCCAGCAGCCGCGGUAAUACGUAGGUGGCAAGCGUUAUCCGGAAUUAUUGGGCGUAAAGCGCGCGUAGGCGGUUUUUUAAGUCUGAUGUGAAAGCCCACGGCUCAACCGUGGAGGGUCAUUGGAAACUGGAAAACUUGAGUGCAGAAGAGGAAAGUGGAAUUCCAUGUGCAGCGGUGAGAUGCGCAGAGAUAUGGAGGAACACCAGUGGCGAAGGCGACUUUCUGGUCUGUAACUGACGCUGAUGUGCGAAAGCGUGGGGAUCAAACAGG
rnacentral:rRNA from 1 species